UUAGGUUGGUGCAAAGGUAAUUGCGGUUUUACCAUUGAGAGUAAUGCAAAACCACAUUUACUUUUGCACCAAUGUAAUAGA
rnacentral:miRNA from 10 species